GAUGAACGCUGGCGGCGUGCUUAACACAUGCAAGUCGAGCGAAAAUAAUUAGGAGCUUGCUUUUGAUUAUUUUAGCGGCGGACGGGUGAGUAACGUGUGGGCAACCUACCUUUUACUGUGGAAUAAUCGUUGGAAACGACGACUAAUACCGCAUACGGUUCUUGGAAGGCAUCUUCUAAGAAAGAAAGGAUUUAUUCGGUAAAAGAUGGGCCCGCAUCUGAUUAGCUAGUUGGUGAGAUAACAGCCCACCAAGGCAACGAUCAGUAGCCGACCUGAGAGGGUGACCGGCCACAUUGGGACUGAGACACGGCCCAA
rnacentral:rRNA from 1 species